rnacentral:rRNA from 1 species
GACGAACGCUGGCGGCGUGCUUAACACAUGCAAGUCGAACGGUGAAGCCCUUCGGGGUGGAUCAGUGGCGAACGGGUGAGUAACACGUGAGCAAUCUGCCCUUGACUCUGGGAUAACUUCGGGAAACCGGAGCUAAUACCGGAUAUGACACGCGGCCGCAUGGUCUGUGUGUGGAAAGAUUUAUUGGUCAGGGAUGAGCUCGCGGCCUAUCAGCUUGUUGGUGGGGAAUGGCCUACCAAGGCGACGACGGGUAGCCGGCCUGAGAGGGCGACCGGCCACACUGGGACUGAGACACGGCCCAGACUCCUACGGGAGGCAGCAGUGGGGAAUAUUGCGCAAUGGGCGAAAGCCUGACGCAGCGACGCCGCGUGAGGGAUGAAGGCCUUC